rnacentral:rRNA from 1 species
CUCCAGACUCCUACGGGAGGCAGCAGUGGGGAAUAUUGCACAAUGGGGGAAACCCUGAUGCAGCGACGCCGCGUGAGUGAAGAAGUAUUUCGGUAUGUAAAGCUCUAUCAGCAGGGAAGAUAAUGACGGUACCUGAGUAAGAAGCCCCGGCUAACUACGUGCCAGCAGCCGCGGUAAUACGUAGGGGGCAAGCGUUAUCCGGAAUUACUGGGUGUAAAGGGAGCGUAGACGGUGAAGUAAGUCUGGAGUGAAAGGCGGGGGCCCAACCCCCGGACUGCUCUGGAAACUAUUUGACUGGAGUGCAGGAGAGGUAAGCGGAAUUCCUAGUGUAGCGGUGAAAUGCGUAGAUAUUAGGAGGAACACCAGUGGCGAAGGCGGCUUACUGGACUGUAACUGACGUUGAGGCUCGAAAGCGUGGGGAGCAAACAGGAUUAGAUACCCUUGUA